rnacentral:rRNA from 1 species
UGGGGAAUUUUGCACAAUGGGGGAAACCCUGAUGCAGCGACGCCGCGUGAUUUAGAAGGCCUUCGGGUUGUAAAAAUCUUUUCUAUGGGAAGAAAAUGACAGUACCAUAGGAAUAAGGACCGGCUAAUUACGUGCCAGCAGCCGCGGUAAUACGUAAGGUCCGAGCGUUGUCCGGAAUCAUUGGGCGUAAAGGGUACGUAGGCGGGUAAGCAAGUUAGAAGUGAAAUCCUAUAGCUCAACUAUAGUAAGCUUUUAAAACUGCUCAUCUUGAGGUCUGGAAGGGAAAGUGGAAUUCCUAGUGUAGCGGUGAAAUGCGCAGAUAUUAGGAGGAAUACCGGUGGCGAAGGCGACUUUCUGGCCAUAACCUGACGCUGAGGUACGAAAGCGUGGGUAGCAAACAGG